rnacentral:lncRNA from 1 species
CUGGGCAGUGGGGAGUGGUGAGCUCCAUUGUGUACACUUGGAAGCAGCCCAGAAAGUUCACUGAGGCAGAUGGGAGGCCCGGAGGAGAAAGAAUGAAGGAAGGCAUUUCAGCCCGAGUAAACUCCCCAGGCCCGCUCUGUGCCAGGCAGUGUUGCAAGCCUCGGCUUCUAGCACGGUGCUUUGUGCACAGUAAACACUCCAGCGGCUGUUGACCAAUGAAUGAAUGAAGAUUGUAGGCUCAAAUAUUCAAGUUAUCAAAGUGCAAAGAAUGAGAGGUUGUUUGCACUGGACUUCAAAAAUAAAUAGCCUGGACCUGUACUGUCUUACACAACAGCUAUGAGCUACUGGUAUGUGGCUAGUCCAAACUGAAAUGCCCUUUAAGAGUAAAACACACACUGGAUUUCAAAGACUUAGUACAAAGAAAAAAUGCAAAAUAGCUCAUUAGUAAUUUUUAUGUUAAUGACAUGUUGAAAUAACAUUUUGAUAUAUUAAGUAAAAUAUAGUAUUAGAAUUAA